rnacentral:rRNA from 1 species
GACGUAGGGCGCGAGCGUUGUCCGGAUUUAUUGGGCGUAAAGAGCUCGUAGGCGGUUUGUCGCGUCUGCCGUGAAAGUCCGGGGCUCCAAGCUCGGAUCGCGGUGGGUACGGGCAGACUAGAGUGAUGUAGGGGGAGACUGGAAUUCCUGGGUGUAGCGGUGAAAUGCGCAGGAUAAUCAGGAGGAACACCGAUGGCGAAGGC